rnacentral:rRNA from 1 species
GAUGAACGCUGGCGGCGUGCUUAACACAUGCAAGUCGAACGAGAAGUGGAGACGGACACCUUCGGGCGGAAGACUUUAUUUCGAGUGGCGGACGGGUGAGUAACGCGUGGGUAACCUGCCUCAUACAGGGGGAUAACAGUUGGAAACGACUGUUAAUACCGCAUAAGACCACAGCACCGCAUGGUGCGGGGGUAAAAACUCCGGUGGUAUGAGAUGGACCCGCGUUCGAUUAGCCAGUUGGCGGGGUAACGGCCCACCAAAUCGACGAUCGAUAGCCGAUCUGAGAGGAUGACCGGCCACAUUGGGACUGAGACACGGCCCAAACUCCUACGGGAGGCAGCAGUGGGGAAUAUUGCACAAUGGGGGAAACCCUGAUGCAGCGACGCCGCGUGAGUGAAGAAGUAUUUCGGUAUGUAAAGCUCUAUCAGCAGGGAAGAAAAUGACGGUACCUGAGGAAGAAGCCCCGGCUAACUACGUG